rnacentral:rRNA from 1 species
GCUAAUACAUGCUUAAAAUCCCGACUUCGGAAGGGAUGUAUUUUAUUAGAUUAAAAACCAAUGCCCUUCGGGGCUCACUGGUGAUUUCAUAAUAACUUCUCGAAUCGCAUGGCCUUGUGCCGGCGAUGGUUCAUUCAAAUUUUCUGCCCCUAUCAACUUUCGACGGCUGGGUCUUGGCCAGCCGUGGUUACAACGGGUAACGGAGGGUUAGGGCUUGACCCCGGAGAAGGAGCCUGAGAAACGGCUACUACAUCCAAGGAAGGCAGCAGGCGCGCAAAUUACCCAAUCCCGAUACGGGGAGGUAGUGACAAUAAAUACUGAUACAGGGCUCUUUUGGGUCUUGUAAUUGGAAUGAGUACAAUUUAAAUCCCUUAACGAGGAACAAUUGGAGGGCAAGUCUGGUGCCAGCAGCCGCGGUAAUUCCAGCUCCAAUAGCGUAUAUUAAAGUUGUUGCAGUUAAAAAGCUCGUAGUUGAACCUUGGGCCUGGCUGGCCGGUCUGCCUCACCGCAUGCACUGGUCCGGCCGGGCCUUUCCCUCUGGGGAGCCGCAUGCCCUUCACUGGGUGUGUCGGGGAACCAGGACUUUUACUGUGAAAAAAUUAGAGUGUUCAAAGCAGGCCUAUGCUCGAAUACAUUAGCAUGGAAUAAUAGAAUAGGACGUUGCGGUUCUAUUUUGUUGGUUUCUAGGACCGCCGUAAUGAUUAAUAGGGACAGUCGGGGGCAUCAGUAUUCAAUCGUCAGAGGUGAAAUUCUUGGAUCGAUUGAAGACUAACUACUGCGAAAGCAUUUGCCAAGGAUGUUUUCAUUAAUCAGGAACGAAAGUUAGGGGAUCGAAAACGAUCAGAUACCGUUGUAGUCUUAACCAUAAACUAUGCCGACUAGGGAUCGGGCGAUGUUUUUCUUUGACUCGCUCGGC